AAGACCUUGCACUUUUGGAGCGGCCGAUGUCUGAUUAGCUAGUUGGUGGGGUAAUGGCCUACCAAAGCGUCGAUCAGUAGCUGGUCUGAGAGGACGGCCAGCCACACUGGGACUGAGACACGGCCCAGACUCCUACGGGAGGCAGCAGUGGGGAAUUUUGGACAAUGGGCGCAAGCCUGAUCCAGCCAUGCCGCGUGAGUGAAGAAGGCCUUCGGGUUGUAAAGCUCUUUCAGCCGGGAAGAAAAGGUUGCGACUAAUAAUCGCAAUCCAUGACGGUACCGAAAGAAGAAGCACCGGCUAACUACGUGCCAGCAGCCGCGGUAAUACGUAGGGUGCGAGCGUUAAUCGGAAUUACUGGGCGUAAAGGGUGCGCAGGCGGUUUUGUAAGUCAGAUGUGAAAUCCCCGGGCUUAACCUGGGAACU
rnacentral:rRNA from 1 species